AUUGAACGCUGGCGGAAUGCUUUACACAUGCAAGUCGAACGGCAGCACGGACUUCGGUCUGGUGGCGAGUGGCGAACGGGUGGGUAAUGCGUCGGAACGUGCCGAGUAGUGGGGGAUAACGCAGCGAAAGUUGUGCUAAUACCGCAUACGUACUGAGGUAGAAAGUGGGGGACCUUCGGGCCUCACGCUAUUCGAGCGGCCGACGUCUGAUUAGCUAGUAGGUGAGGUAAAGGCUCACCUAGGCGACGAUCAGUAGCGGGCCUGAGAGGAAGGACCGCCACACUGGGACGGAGACACGGGCCAGACUCCUACGGGAGGCAGCAGUGGGGAAUUUUGGACAAUGGGCGAAAGCCUGAUCCAGCCAUGCCGCGUGUCUGAAGAAGGCCUUCGGGUUGUAAAGGACUUUUGUCAGGGAGGAAAUCCCUAGUGCUAAUAACACUGGGGGAUGACAGUACCUGAAGAAUAAGCACCGGCUAACUACGUGCCAGCCGCCGCCGUAA
rnacentral:rRNA from 1 species